GACCCUCCUCCUAGCUUCUUGGAAGCCAGACUUCUCCUGAUUGCCUUCCGAACAAGACCUGGCUUCUCCAGAGCCAGAUCUGCCUGGAUGCUACCAUGCUUCCUGCCAGGGUUAUAAUGGAUUAAACCUCAGAACCACCUUGGCAAUUAAGCACUAUUUACCUCCGAUGGAUUUGCCUGCUCUGGAAACAUCACACAAAUGAGAUCAGUUUCUCAAGAUGAGCUGUCUGAUACUACUUCAUCCUUACAGCUGGUGAUGCCACAUUCUAAGUCAGCCGAUCAAGAGUAAAGCAUGAGAUAGGACCUCGACUAAAAUGGAAAACCAAUAACCACCAUUGCCACCAUCACCU